rnacentral:lncRNA from 1 species
AGGUGGAAUGCAGCAGGAGAAAAAUGAAGAAGAAGGAACACCUAAAUGACGAGAGAAGGAACAAAAGUUCUGAAACUAACCUAAGCUGCUCCGAAGGAUGCAGAGAUGCAGGGACAGGGAUGACUCGAAGUACACCUAGGGCCAAAAUGGAUGCCGAGGAAGGUCAGAGCUCUCAAAAAGAAGACGGGCACCAACAAAACUUUCAGACAGAAUGAAACUCCCGAAGGA